CAGUCGCCACGGGAAUACGUAGGGUGCGAGCGUUAAUCGGAAUUACUGGGCGUAAAGCGUGCGCAGGCGGUUGUGUAAGACAGGUGUGAAAUCCCCGGGCUUAACCUGGGAACUGCGCUUGUGACUGCACAGCUAGAGUAUGGCAGAGGGGGGUGGAAUUCCACGUGUAGCAGUGAAAUGCGUAGAGAUGUGGAGGAACACCGAUGGCGAAGGCAGCCCCCUGGGCCAAUACUGACGCUCAUGCACGAAAGCGUGGGAGCAAACAGGAUUAGAUACCCCUGUAGUCCCUGUCUCUUAUACC
rnacentral:rRNA from 1 species